rnacentral:rRNA from 1 species
GACGAACGCUGGCGGCGUGCCUAAUACAUGCAAGUUGAGCGCUGAAGGUUGGUGCUUGUACCAACUGGAUGAGCAGCGAACGGGUGAGUAACGCGUGGGGAAUCUGCCUUUGAGCGGGGGACAACAUUUGGAAACGAAUGCUAAUACCGCAUAAAAACUUUAAACACAAGUUUUAAGUUUGAAAGAUGCAAUUGCAUCACUCAAAGAUGAUCCCGCGUUGUAUUAGCUAGUUGGUGAGGUAAAGGCUCACCAAGGCGAUGAUACAUAGCCGACCUGAGAGGGUGAUCGGCCACAUUGGGACUGAGACACGGCCCAAACUCCUACGGGAGGCAGCAGUAGGGAAUCUUCGGCAAUGGACGAAAGUCUGACCGAGCAACGCCGCGUGAGUGAAGAAGGGUUUCGGAUCGUAAAACUCUGUUGGUAGAGAAGAACGUUGAUGAGAGUGGAAAGCUCAUCAAGUGACGGUAACUACCCAGAAAGGGACGGCUAACUACGUG